rnacentral:rRNA from 1 species
CCUACGGGAGGCAGCAGUGAGGAAUAUUGGUCAAUGGACGAGAGUCUGAACCAGCCAAGUAGCGUGAAGGAUGACUGCCCUAUGGGUUGUAAACUUCUUUUAUAAAGGAAUAAAACGAGGCACGUGUGCCUUUUUGCAUGUACUUUAUGAAUAAGGAUCGGCUAACUCCGUGCCAGCAGCCGCGGUAAUACGGAGGAUCCGAGCGUUAUCCGGAUGUAUUGGGUUUAACGGGAGCGUAGAUGGGUUGUUAAGUCAGUUGUGAAAGUUUGCGGCUCAACCGUAAAAUUGCAAGUGAUACUGGCAGUCUUGAGUACAGUUGAGGGAGGCGGAAUUCGUGGUGUAGCGGUGAAAUGCUGAGAUAUCACGAAGAACCCCGAUUGCGAAGGCAGCUUACUAAACUGUGACUGACAUUGAUGCUCGAAAGUGUGGGUAUCAAACAGGAUUAGAUACCCGAGUAGUC